GGGGUGCGUCCCAAUAGUCCGGUGUAGUUUAGGGGUGCGUCCCAAUAAUCCGGUGUAGUCUAGGGGUGCGUCCCAAUAAUCCGGUGUAGUCUAGGGGUGCGUCCCAAUAGUCCGGUGUAGUCUAGGGGUGCGUCCCAAUAAUCCGGUGUAGUCUAGGGGUGAACAUUUUGUAAAGAAAGCAACACGCCGAGUCUGGAGGUAAAUAUUGUUGUUUAUUAAUAAACAAACACCAGUCAGGAACUGAUAUUAGUCUCGGUGGGGGGUUGGGGGGGGGGAGAUAAAGCACAACGCACAGAGGAAGAUGGGGGGGAGGGGGACAUAUUUAUCUGUUACACAAGGAGGAAGUCCCUACUGAGGGACAGGGAGUACUAAGAUCCAUCCAGAUCAGGAAGUCUACGGGUACAAAACCUUAGCAGCAACACGUUUAAACAUCGUCAUAGCAACACCGGGUGGCUAACAAGGUAGUUUCAUUUAGAAAAAAAAAAAAAUGUCACAGUUUUAUUUUUUUUAAAGCAGAAAUUGGUUAAAAAGUUAUAAACACGUCUAGGAUCAGGUGGUGUAAUCUACAACAUGUCUAGGAUCAGGUGGUGUAAUCUACAACAUGUCUAGGAUCAGGUGAUGUAAUCUACACCAUCAACAUGUCUAGGAUCAGGUGGUGUAAUCUACACCAUGUCUAGGAUCAGGUGAUGUAAUCUACACCAUGUCUAGGAUCAGGUGAUGUA
rnacentral:lncRNA from 1 species